rnacentral:tRNA from 1 species
GUUCUUGUAGUUGAAUUACAACAGUGGUUUUUCAAGCCAUCGGUCCUGGUUAAAUUCCUGGUGAGAAUU